GACGAACGCUGGCGGCGUGCUUAACACAUGCAAGUCGAACGGAAAGGCCCUGCUUGCAGGGUACUCGAGUGGCGAACGGGUGAGUAACACGUGGGUGAUCUGCCCUGCACUUCGGGAUAAGCCUGGGAAACUGGGUCUAAUACCGGAUAGGAGCCAUUUUUAGUGUGAUGGUUGGAAAGUUUUUUCGGUGUAGGAUGAGCUCGCGGCCUAUCAGCUUGUUGGUGGGGUAAUGGCCUACCAAGGCGGCGACGGGUAGCCGGCCUGAGAGGGUGGACGGCCACAUUGGGACUGAGAUACGGCCCAGACUCCUACGGGAGGCAGCAGUGGGGAAUAUUGCACAAUGGGCGAAAGCCUGACGGAGCAACGCCGCGUGAGUGAUGAAGGUCUUCGGAUCGUAAAACUCUGUUAUUAGGGAAGAACAUAUGUGUAAGUAACUGUGCACAUCUUGACGGUACCUAAUCAGAAAGCCACGGCUAACUACGUG
rnacentral:rRNA from 1 species